UUUGUCUGAUUGCUGUGGCUAGGACUUCCAGUACUACGUUGAAUAACAGUGGUGAGAGUGGGCAUCCUUGUCUUGUUCCAGAUUUUAGUGGGAAGGCUUUCAGCUUUUCUCCACUGUGUAUUAUAUUUGCUGCGGCUUUGUCAUAAAUGACUUCUAUUAUGUUAAGCUAUGUUCCCUCUAUACACACUUUGGUAAGAGUUUUUAUCAUGAAUGGAUUUUGGACUUUGUCAAAUGCUUUUUCUGCAUCUAUUGAGAUGAUCAUGUGGUUUUUGACUCUUCCUUUUGUUAAUGUGGCGUAUGACGUUGAUUGAUUUGUGUAUGUUGAACCAUCCUUGUGAACCUGGGAUGAAUCCCACCUGGUCAUGGUAUAUGAUCUUUUUUAUAUGUUGUUGGAUUUGGUUGGCUAAAAUUUUGUUAAGAGAAUUUUUGCACCUAUAUUCAAAGAUAUUGGCCUAUAGUUUUCUAUUUUGGUAGUACCAUUGUCUGGUUUUGGAAUUAGGGUGAUGGUGGCAUCAUAGAAUGUCUUUGGGAGUGUUCCUUCUUCUUCAAACUUUUGAAAAAGUUUAAGGAGGAUGAGUAUAAGUUCCUCUUUGUAUGUUGGUAGAAUUCCCCUGUGAAGUCAUCUGGUCCUGGACUUUUAUUUGUAGGGAGUGUUUUUAUGACAUAUUCAAUUUAAUUUCUAGCAAUUGGUCUCAAUGAACAACUAAUGGAAAAUGCUGGACAGGUUUUCUUUGAGUCACUGGUGCAAAGGCUUUCUACCUCUGGCUCAUCACACCAGAAAUCCAUGAACAAUGCCACAAACUAUAAGUGAAACAAAUAAAUCUUUGUUUUGGGCCUUUAUGAAUGAGAGCAGAGACUGAUGCAACCAUUUAGGAGACAAACCUCUUUAGUUUGAAUAGCUUGCUCCAUAGUGACAGGCACAGAGGCCUAGGCUGAGGAAAGGCUGGGUCAAGUUAGUAGUUGGAGGCUGAAGGACUAAGAUUUGGAAGUGCAAAGAACUAUCUCAUUUUCAUGCUACUGGGUUCUCUGGAAUGAUGUCAUUGAAAUCUUAAAUAGGAGGAGAUGUAGUCAAUUAAGUGUAAGCUAAUCAAAGUAUAAGUCUACACAACAGAAUAAGAGAAUUUUUAACAUCCACAUUAGAUAACAUGCAUAUACUGCAUAUAUUGCUACACAUGUAAUACAUAUGAACAUAAAAAUGUGCUCCUCUGGUAAACAAUUAUGUUUAUACAUAUAUGUUUCAUAUUCAUACAUCAGUGUGUUUCUGUAGAUGAUUUUUCCCCCUUCUUAAUAAACUACAAACCUAGUACCUAAGUUGGGCCCAGUUUAGUCCAUAUUCUCAAAUCUACCUACAGAGAUGGAUUUCUUUUGUCUCAGGCAAUUAGUAGGGUUAAAAAGAAAAUGAAAACAUAACACAUGAAUAAAAUGGAUGUAUAUAGAACAUAUAUUAUUCUGUACACAACCCAAAUUUUACAUAAACAAACACAUCAUAGGCAACCUAACAGUGAUACUAUAUUUAAGAAGUGGACAUGUGUUAAAUGUGAAUACUACUAACUGGAGGCUGAUAAAAAAUUUGAUGCUGAACAUACUGGGAAACAUAAAGGUGUCACCAGGGCCAUUCUAGAUAUUUUUCUCUCAACUUUAUUUUCUUCUAUUUUCUCAAUACAGAAGGCUUUUAGUGCAGCUGCUAAAAGCAAAACUGGCUAUUGCUUCCCACUAAGGUUCUUGGAUGGAGGCGUCAUAAAGACAUAGACCAUCCUGAGAGGAGAGAUGGCUCAUCUGCUCACUUAAAACAUAAGCACACCUCCAAAGAUGACAUGCAGAUGGCCAACAGUCAAAUGAAAAGAUGCUCAACAUUGUUAAUUAUUAGAGAAUGGAAAACAAAACCACAAUGAGCUAUCACAUCACACUUGUCAGAAUGGUGGUAUCAUUAAAAAGUUUGCAAAUAACAAAUGUUGGAGAAGAUGUGGAGAAAAGGAAACUUUUAUACACUGCCAGUGGGAAUAUAAUUUGGUAUAGCCACUAUGGAGAACAGUAUGGAGGUUUCUCUAAAAGCUAAAAAUAGAACAACCACAUGAUCCAGUAAUUCUGCUCCUGGGUAUAUAUCUGAUUAAAAAAAAAAACUGAUUCAAAAAGAUACAUGCAUAUCUAUGUUCACAGCAGCACUAUUUACAAUUGCCAAGAAAUGGAAGCAACCCAAAUGUCUAUCAACAGUGGAAUGGACGAAGAAGAUGUGGUAUACAUAUAUAUCAGAAUACUAUUCAGCCAUAAAAAAGAACAAAACUCUGCCAUUUACAGCAACAUGUAUGGCCUACAGAAUAUUAUGCUUAGUGAAAUAAAUCAGACAGACAAAGACAAAUACCAUAUGAUAUCACUUAAUGUAGAAUCUAAAAAAAAAAUUAACUUAUAUAGCAAAGCAGAAACAUAUUCAGAAAUAUAGAAAACCAAAUUGUGGUUACCAAAGAGGAGCAGGAAUAGCGUAGAAACAAGUUAGGGGUGUGGGAUUAAGAGAUACAAACUACCAUGUAUAAAAUAGGUAAGCAACAAGGACAUAUUCUGUAGCACAGGGAAUUAGAGCUAUUUUCCUGUAGUAACUUUUAAAAGGUAUUUAACCACUAAGUUAUAGCUCUGAAACUCUAUAAUAUAUUAGAAAUCAACUAUCUGUCAAUAAAAAUGUUUAAUAAAAAUAAUAAAAAAUAAAACAUAAGCACACUCCGACUUUUAGAAGAGGCAUUUGUUUCUGAGGGCAUAGUCUCUUCUACUCUCUGCUGUAUGGAGAUGGGACACAUGGUGCCCUGGGUACACUCAUCCACACAUCAGCCUAAAUUAGCUAGUAAAUCAUAAUGCAGUAGCUAAUAACAGCCAUAAAGCCUUUGAGUUUUACAAGGUGUUUAUAAUGGACAACUCACUAUGAUUUAUAUGAAAAGCACGAGUCAGCUCCUGAGACAAAGCUGAUAUGUGGACAGUGGCCUUGUGGUAUGACCUCUAGCACGCAACCAAAUAAAUUAUAGAAUUUCCCUCUGGCCCAAGGCUAGUCAGGGUCUCAUAAACAUAGGUGCAGAGUACCAUGUGAUAGGAGAACUGAGUGCUGGUGCAUGCUGGGUCUUCUCUGGUGACUGGUCAUGACAAAGAAGGUGAUCUGCUAAAUGUAGCAGGAGGUGAUAAAUACCAAGGAUAGUUUGGGGUCAUCCCCAUGUUUGGCCCCAUGAGAUAUAAUAUAUUAGAUACAUUUAAUACACAGAAAAUAUAUUAGAUACGUUUUCCACCCUCCUAGCUGAGAAAGCAAGAUGGAUACAUGCAAAUAUUAGAAAAUAUAAUAUGGUUUGUAAGUGACUAGUUAAAGGGUAGAUCUUAGGUAGGGGAGUUACUAAGGCCCUAAUUCCAUUAAAAGGUUUCCUAAAGAGCAAGGUCUGAGUUGGAUCAUGGAGGAUGUGAGGAAUUAAUGAGAGGGAGAGAAAAAAAAGGUUUUCCAGAGGGAGCAUGAGUAAAGUGAAGAUAUUAGGUCAGCAAUAAUAAUCAAAUACCUCUUUUGAUAGACAGAAAGGAAGAGGAAGGAAAAAAAAAACUUGAGACAUCAACUGAGUGACAUGAAAUGAAAAUCACACUGAAGAACAGUGAGAAGUGAGGUCAGAAAUCACAAUGCAAAACUCAUGGCUGGCAUCAAACAACCACAGGCACCCUAGACAGAUGGUUCUGUGCAAUGAAGUUCACAAAAGUCCUACUAGGUAAUAGCCCAACCGAAAUAGAUCAGCAGGAUGAAGUCAGGUUCUUUUCCUUAUCCCACCACUAUAAAAACUGCAACAUGAUGACCUAACCAUAGCACUUUUUACGAGUGUCCUCUCCAUUAUUACCAGAUGAUUCUAGAUUUGAGAUGCAGCCUGAUCUCUGUGUACAAUAAUCUCUGGGAGAAAAUAUUCUAAUUUCCUUUGCUUGUUUUCUUAUUUCCUUCCCAUAGUUCUCAUGCCCUUCCCUUUGAUUUACAUAUUUUGACAUCAAGACUUUUUCUCCUAUUGAAUAUUAUUCCCUAUGGUGUCCAUCUAAUUGAAGCCCCAUCACUUUUCCAAACCACCCUAAUUCAUUGGAGACUUUACUGUUGAAAGCCAUGUAUGGCUCCUCACACAAGAACCCUGUACACCUGAAGAGAUCUGGGCUGUGUUCUUCCCCUGCAGAAUCCACAUGGGCAGCCCAGGGAGAGGCAGGGACAGGCAUCAUCCCCAUUUACACAGAAAUGCACAUAAUCACAACUCGAUCUCUCUCUGACUCUUCCUCCCAGAGCCAAAUCUCAAAAAAAAAAAAAAAAAAAAAAUNUCUAAAACUCCCUUUGAAAAAUUCUUUUCCUCUGACUCUAAUAGUAAGAAUGUGAUUAACAAAGAGGAAAUAAGAGCAUAAGGUAUAGUUCAAGUUAUUUAAAUCAUUCAAUCUAUAGCAUCCAUAUACUUCAUCAGUCAUCCAGAGGGGGAAAAAUGUGUAGAAGGUAGAAGAGAUCAAUGCAGCAAAAUAAAAGAAAAGCUCAAGUCUACCUUCCCUAGAAGGCUCAGACUCUGUUUCAAUUGAUUUUAUUAUAUCAAGGAGCCUAAUACACUUAGUAAAUGUGAGAGAGAGGGAGGCAGGGAGGGAUGGAUGGAUGGGAUGGGUGCGUGCAUACAUGGAUGGGUGAGUGGGUGGAUGGAUGGGUGGACAAUGAAUGCAUGGAUGGAGGCAUGGAUAGAGAAAUAACUGAAAAACUGAGUCAUAUAGGCAAAUGGGUACCAACUCUGAGAAAUAGGUGACAAAGAAAUUCCUCCAACAAGCUGAACCUAAGGUCCCUUUUUGGCUGUUUGAUGUAAGGAGAAGAAAGGGAGAGACUCCUAAGUAUUAACUCUCUCACAUCCUUAACAAAUGUCUCCAUCACUUACUGCUGGUUCUCCUACUUCCAAUGAAUGAGCAGCCCCUAAAAGAUUCCCAAGAGAUGGGAGUUCCUGGUGCUCCACUCCCAUUAUUAGAGUGGAGGUAGAGGUGAGAGUGUAAGUUCUAUACACCUGGGCCAAGAAUACCAGAGUUUAUGUCCUGAGAAACAACCUAAAACAUCUUCUUUUAUAGCUUGAUAAUACCAAUCUUAGGUUUGGGAGAUUUAAUUUUCAUACCUGGCCUGAAAAUUCUGCCCAUCUUUUUCUAUCUAAACCUCUGGGUGAGGAUGCCAACCCUGCUUGGCAAAACUAAAAAGUACCCUAUUUUCAUAAAAGUCCAGGAUCUCCAUCAGCUUCUUUGGCCGUCAUCUCUCCAAACUCUCUUUUUCAAAAGACACCAGAAGAAUUCUUCAUAAUCUUGAAACUCAAACAAUAAGAUCAUAAAUAAAUGGUGACCUCUUAGUAAAGACUGAGAAACCAUGACCUUGGAAACUCAACUCCCUCCCUUCUAGCCUGACCAUGUCCCCAAUCAGAAGAGCUCUGUCUUUGUGCAUUUUUAAAAUAUGAAUAUUUUCCCUUCCCAGUGGUCAUGGAUAGCAUAAAUUGCCAUUAGCCAUGACAAAGACAGAUGACCUGCCCUACAGGAGAAAAAGAACAGAAAGCGUGAAUACACUGUCAUUUUCCUAGGACUUGAAGCUCUCCAGCUGCCUGUGGUACGUCUCAAAAUUUCACCCUGCUAGAGAGUUUGUUUUGAAUAAAAGAGAAGUAUAAUUUUUCUCUUAAAACAGCCUCUAGUCAUUGCAAGUUCUAGGUACAAGCAGAGUAGCCUGGCUUUAAAGCUGAAGCAUUGUAGGUGGAACCGGGACAAGCUCAUCUCAACCCCACUCUGCCUCUCUGGCCUUGCUGCUUCUUGCUCAGCCUAUGAUUUGGGCAGGAAUGUCACCCUAGGCCCUUCUUCUGCAGUUUACAAAAGCAAACGCUGGUGGUUUGGAGUUGGGAGCUAUUGUAGGCUGAACAUACAAGAGCAAAUGUGACGGCAAGAUCACGUCCCUGCCUCCCACAAAUGUGGAGGAAGUGGAGAGGAGGUGGAGUCCCCCCUCCCCCCCAAAAAAGAGGAAAAUGUGGUCCUAAACUAAGUCAAUAUAGUCCUGAUUAGGCAGAUCUGGGACCACGUGGAAGCCAACCCAACCACUCUAUUCUUGAGCAUAGACACUUUUUUUGGACAACACAUCAGAAAGCUGCUCUGACUGGCCCUUGGAAAAAUGAUAGACCCCCUUGGGGAGGUGUGGACUGGCCUGAGUUCCAUGGUGCCCCCCUUUGGAAGAUCUGCCAUUGCCAUUUUGUGCCCACUGAGGAGACAGGGUGUCCUGGUUACUCAGGCUCUCCUUGCCUGGACCCUGUCCUCUUAAGUCCAGAAAUUCUCAAAACAGCCUGUAUAUUAUACAAUUGCAAAGUACUGGGCCAAGAGGAGGUUUGAGUUCUAAUCUGACCUUCAUUUCUCUCUGGAAUACUCAGGGAAUCCCACAAGCUCUUUCAUUCUUUUUUUUUUUUUUUUUUGGUCUUUUUGUCUUUUUAGGACCUCACCUGUGGCAUGUGGACGUUCCCAGGCUAGGGGUCCAAUCGGAGCUGUUGCUGCCGGCAUACACCACUGUCACAGCAACGCGGUAUCCGAGCCACAUCUACGACCUGUGCCACAGCUCAUGGCAAUGCUGGAUCCUUAACCCACUGAGUGAUGCCAGGGAUCUAACCCACAACCCCAUGGUUCCUAGUCAGAUUCGUUAACCACUGAGCCAUGAUGGGAACUCACAAACUCUUUCUCUUACUAUCCCAUAUUUGUCAAACAAAGUGUGGCCUAGAGUUCAUCACUCUCAUCAGCACUGUGAGGCUCAAAUGAGAUUGUGUGUGAAAAUGCUUCCAAAAUUAGUCUCUCUCCAAGCCCCAAGAAAACCACAGGGCCAUUGGACAGAAGGAACCAAGGUCCCUGAUGGACAAGGUGCUCCUCACUGUCCACCCAGAAACCUUCAGUGGACUGAAAAUGAUGAAGUCACAAGACAUGGUGUCUAUUUGUUACAGUAGUUGGUCUUUCCUGACUAAUCCACCCAGCUCCCCAGCCAAUAUUCUUUCCAUUACAUACCAAGAGUCAGUGAAUUUUACAUACCCAAGAUGAGAAGGAAAAUAACACUGACAUCAGGGCCAAGGUCAAUGAGCAACCCAGAUGGGCUGCCAAAAAAAAAAAAAUGAGGGGGAAAGCACUGCCUCUUCUUGGGGAACCAAGCAUCUCUGAGCAAGCAGCCCCUAGAACCUCCUCUCACAGACUCCCAGAGGGUCUCCCGGCCCCUCCUCCCUACAUAGGCUAAUAGCUGGGAGGGGGAGGUAGGGUGCACGGGAUAAUGAUCCCUUUCUUAUUUAAACAGGCCAUUUUUCUUCCCAAUAAAUGCUUCUUUUUUUUUGUCAGCUCAAAUAUUCCCCUUUGAUAGAAACCUGAAAAUAAUUAGCCUUAAUAGCACUGCUGUGAAUAAUGCCGCACAAGAAGGAGGUAGAUGUUAAUAGGAACCUUCCACUCCAAAACUAAGUCACCCUCUUGGCCUCCAUCCCCCCAAAAAGAAAUAUAACAAGAAAAUGAUUAUAGGUUUAGCACUACUUGGGAAGAAAUGUAUAUUUGAAAUAAAUGUAUGAAAUCGUUUAAAAACAACACAUGCUGAAAACUUCAUAUUUAGUUUGAUUUGCUUUCCAAAUCACACAGGCUGCACAGUUGCAGACAAUCUUUAAACAAGUACAACCCCUGAGAAGUGUGGAUAGAUUUAAGAGAAAUAAAAGCAAGAUCAGCCAGCUUGUAAUCUUCUUUUCUCUUUUUGCCUCCCCAAAGCUGUAUUAAAUUGCCUAUCGAGAACAAUAACAUAUUUGUGCUUUUAUAGGUGGAAUGAUUGGUAUUAUGCAAAGAUUUGGCUAACAGUGUAAAGGCACAUUCACACUGUUCGGGAGUGCAUGCUGUUAAUAAUUUUCAGGAUGCUCUAGGGAACCCAUAAUUCCCUGGGACUUCAACUUAGCAGGUCAACGCAUGCUUUGUGG
rnacentral:lncRNA from 1 species